AUGGCCCUGGAGUCUGAAAAUGUGUGGGAAAGAAAUUCGACAGGGAAGAAAAGCAAGUCACCAGGGACUGUAUCCUUGAUUAGUGGCUGCGAUCCUGCAACACACUUCAUCCUGCCCAAUCCCUAUCGAUGUUGGCAUUUUCCUACUCAAUUGAUGUCCUCGUAUUUUCCCUGCUCCAUCUACACACCAUAUAUUUCCUCAGCUUUCUCCCAGCCAAGCUAUUGGGGAAAAUGGUGUCUAGAAAUAUAUGGGCUGCUAUUCCAGGGUCUCCAAGCCUUCCACUGUGUCCAUCUGAACUUAAGUUAUUUUUACUUCUGAAAACAGCAUGUGGAAUUAAUCAUUUGAAUCAUCGUGACUAAGAGGAGAAUAAUCACAAAUAGAGA
rnacentral:lncRNA from 1 species